AUGGCGACGUCUAUUUCCUUUCUCACCAUUUCUCCGCCUUCACAACCUUUUCGUUUGCCUCUGUCUCGAGUCCAAGCGCCGCCGCACGACCUUCCCAUCGUCUCACCUCUUCGAAUCCGACUCGCAAACCGUCAUUUCGCUCCUCUACAUCAGCGGCCUUGUUCCCGCCAUGCUAUACUGCAUCAUCACCUUCGUCCGCUUAAUCUCUUGAUCUUCUUUGUUCUUCUCUCCGACCGAUGUAUAACCAGAAAUCCAGAUGAGAGGGUCAGUGUUAUGCGAUGA